UACCAGCACCCCGAGUGGUCGGGACGUUUAUUGGGCCUAACGCAUCCGUAGCCGGUUCUACAAGUCUUCCGUUAAAUCCACCUGCUUAACAGAUGGGCUGCGGAAGAUACUAUGGAGCUAGGAGGCGGGAGAGGCAAGCGGUACUCGAUGGGUAGGGGUAAAAUCCGUUGAUCCAUUGAAGACCACCAGUGGCGAAGGCGGCUUGCCAGAACGCGCUCGACGGUGAGGGAUGAAAGCUGGGGGAGCAAACCGG
rnacentral:rRNA from 1 species